rnacentral:piRNA from 1 species
UCCUAAGUAUCUUGUUUGUGCCAAGCUGGU